rnacentral:rRNA from 1 species
GACGAACCGAGCGAACGUUGUUCGGAAUCACUGGGCUUAAAGGGCGCGUAGGCGGGCGGUCAAGUCCGGGGUGAAAGCCCCCAGCUCAACUGGGGAAGUGCCUCGGAUACUGAUCGCCUCGAGGGAGAUAGGGGCGUGCGGAACUUCCGGUGUAGCGGUGAAAUGCGUAGAUAUCGGAAGGAACAUCAGUGGCGAAAGCGACUUCCUGGACCAAUACUGACGCUCAUGUGCGAAAGCGUGGGGAGCAAACAGG